UACGGAGGGAGCUAGCGUUAUUCGGAAUUACUGGGCGUAAAGCGCACGUAGGCGGCUUUGUAAGUUAGAGGUGAAAGCCUGGAGCUCAACUCCAGAAUUGCCUUUUAAGACUGCAUCGCUUGAAUCCAGGAGAGGUGAGUGGAAUUCCGAGUGUAGAGGUGAAAUUCGUAGAUAUUCGGAAGAACACCAGUGGCGAAGGCGGCUCACUGGACUGGUAUUGACGCUGAGGUGCGAAAGCGUGGGGGAGCAAACAGG
rnacentral:rRNA from 1 species